GCCCUGGUGGUGUAAUUGGUAGACACAAGGGAUUUAAAAUCCCUCGACUUUCGAGUCGUGCCGGUUCAAGUCCGGCCCGGGGCACCA
rnacentral:tRNA from 1 species